AUCAAUUAAUAAAAAUUGAAUAGGUCUCAUUGUAAGAAAGCCCAAGAGUAAGCUAUGUGAGCUUGAUGGCGAUGCUAAAAGCUAUCGACUUACAAAGGUGUUUGAAAAUGGGCUUGACAUUGAAUCGAAAAUCAUUUGAUUUUUAAUGGUUUAACAUGGUUUUGAAUUUACGUUUAAAACUGAAAGGGAUUUGGAAAUGAUUUUGAAAAAUGUACUU
rnacentral:lncRNA from 1 species